GUAGUCAUAUGCUUGUCUCAAAGAUUAAGCCAUGCAUGUCUAAGUAUAAGCAAUUUAUACGGUGAAACUGCGAAUGGCUCAUUAAAUCAGUUAUCGUUUAUUUGAUAGUACCUUACUACAUGGAUACCUGUGGUAAUUCUAGAGCUAAUACAUGCUAAAAACCUCGACUUCGGAAGGGGUGUAUUUAUUAGAUAAAAAACCAAUGCCCUUCGGGGCUCCUUGGUGAAUCAUAAUAACUUAACGAAUCGCAUGGCCUUGCGCCGGCGAUGGUUCAUUCAAAUUUCCGCCCUAUCAACUUUCGAUGGUAGGAUAGUGGCCUACCAUGGUGGCAACGGGUAACGGGGAAUGA
rnacentral:rRNA from 1 species